AGAGGCUGGGAGCUGCGGCCGCUGUGCCAGGGUGACCGGUAGAGCUGUAGCCGAGGUGGCGGCGCGGGGCGGGGCGGGCGGAGAGAGAAGGAAGGAGGUGGUUGUGCAGGAUGGCGACGGCGGCCUACGAGCAGCUGAAGCUGCAUAUCACACCUGAAAAAUUUUAUGUGGAAGCUUGUGAUGAUGGAGCAGAUGAUGUACUUACCAUCGACCGUGUGUCCACAGAGGUUACCCUUGCAGUCAAGAAAGAUGUUCCUCCUUCAGCUGUCACAAGACCAAUAUUUGGUAUACUGGGCACAAUCCAUCUGGUGGCAGGUAAUUAUCUUAUAGUCAUUACCAAAAAGAUAAAAGUAGGUGAAUUUUUCAGUCAUGUAAUCUGGAAAGCAACAGAUUUUGAUGUCCUUUCUUAUAAGAAGACAAUGUUGCACUUAACUGAUAUUCAGGUAAGAACUGGAAAUUGUUACUAAUUGCAAAGCCCAAAGAAGUAUUAUGGGCUGGGGAGAGGAGGGUGAGGGUGUUGUGGAAUACAAAGAAUGCUAUAAUUAUUUUAACAACCUAUAGAGUAAGGUCACUCUACCUACUUUUCUACCUAGGCAUAAAAAAUAUUUUUUAAAUCAUUUGUUGCUCUUGUUUUUUUUUUUUUUAAAGAUUCAGUUCUUAAAUUAUGCAAUUUCAUAUGGAGAGAAGGGAAAACAGAAAUGCACGUGUACUCAGCACCAGAUUUAACUUCAUAUCCUCUUUGUAAAGAAAUAAAAUAUAAAUACCUUUGAAGUUCUGCUCCUCUUAACUCAUUCCCUUCUUUCCCAGAGAGGUUUUCUCUAUUUUUACCACAUGUGAAUGUAAGUGUGUAUGUGU
rnacentral:sRNA from 1 species